CACACACACACGUGCACACACACACACACUGCAACUCCACACACUGAGGAUCAGUGGCAGCUACAAUAAAAGAGCAAAAAAGCAAAAUCUCAAAAACUUUAUAUUUUUGCACAAAUUAUUAAUAAUCAUUUAAAAAGCCUGAACUUUAACCUAGAAAACACAGACAAAGGGGAAGAAGUGUGUGUGUGUGUGUGUGUGUGUGUGUGUGUGUGUGUGUGUUUCCUGCUGCAGGGUAUAGCUCAUCUGGCCCUCAGUUCUGUGUAAGUGUGUGGUUUUUCUCUGGCACUGAGGGAGGGAGUGAGUGUGUGUGUGUGUGUGUGUGUGUGUGUGUGUUCACAGUUUCAUUUGAAUGAUGUAUAAUUAGUGGUCCUCAUUAGUGAGAAUAAAAAGCCCUAGCGUAGUUUUCAAAUCAAAUGUUAUUUGUGACACACACACACACACACACACACACACACACAGGGUACAACAUGCAGUGAAAUGCUUUUAUACGACGGUCCGUCAUGAGGGAAUGGGAUGGGGAGAAAAAUAAACCAAGGAAAAGAAGGCAGAUAAAUAAAGAGUAUAAACUAUAUAAUAUAUAUAUAUAUAUAUAUAUAUAUAUGAGAAAAAAGUGUAUAUACAACGUAUGCUUAUGACAGUAAAACAGUAGAAAUUGAAGGUGGUUUUCAUCAGAAGAGGGUCACAUGACCGCCGGAUAAACACACACGUUGUCUGGAGUGUGUGAAAUGACAUGAUGAACAACAUGAUAAAGAACAGAUGAAGACACGAUGCUGUUGAAGCUUUUCUUCAGGGUUUUGGGUAUGAAAUGGUGUCCGACUGUAAACGUCACACACACACACACACACACACACACACACACACACACACACACACACACAGGAUCCAGGAUCAGUGUGUGAGUCUGUAGAAGACUGAACUGAUUAGUCAGGGAUUCAGGAAGUGUAAAGGAUCUGCAUUAGAAAACUGUUAUUGUGUACAAGUUUUUAAUCAUUAAUUUUACAAGUAAAAGUACUUUUAUUAGAUACAACAAAUUAAUCAUCUGUACAUCAUCCGAUUUAUUAUUAGUUUUGUUAUGAAAUAAAAGAAAAACAAGCUGUUACAUGUUCGUGUUCCUGGAGGGAUGUUUGAGUCCUCAGCGCCCCCUGCUGGCUCGCUCGUGUCUACUGUACUGUUACAUAUUAGUGUAUAUAAGCAACAGGUUGAGUUUAUGUAUAAUUAUUGAUUAUUGAUUGCAGGUAUAUUGAGUAGGUGUUUAUUGAUUAUUGAUUGCAGGUAUAUUGAGUAGGUGUUUAUUGAUUAUUGAUUGCAGGUAUAUUGGUAGGUGUUUAUUGAUUAUUGAUUACAGGUAUAUUGAGUAGGUGUCUAUUGAUUAUUGAUUGCAGGUAUAUUGAGUAGGUGUUUAUUGAUUAUUGCAGGUAUAUUGAGUAGGUGAUUAUUGAUUGCAGGUAUAUUGAGUAGGUGUUUAUUGAUUAUUGAUUGCAGGUAUAUUGAGUAGGUGUUUAUUGAUUAUUGAUUGCAGGUAUAUUGAGUAGGUGUUUAUUGAUUAUUGAUUGCAGGUAUAUUGAGUAGGUGUUUAUUGAUUGCAGGUAUAUUGAGUA